rnacentral:rRNA from 1 species
CCUGUUUAGCAAAAACAUGUUUGUUUGGAGUUAUAAAGAAUUUAACCUGCCCCCUGAUUAACUACUAAUUAAAGGGCCGCAGUAUUAUAACUGUGCAAAGGUAGCAUAAUCAUUAGGUUUUUAAUUGAAAUCUCGUAUGAAUGGUUGGACAAAAGAAAGACUCUCUUUAUAUUAAGUUUUGAAUUUAACUUUUAAGUGAAAAGGCUUAAAUAUUCUAAAGGGACGAUAAGACCCUAUAAAACUUUACAUUGUCAUUAAUUUUGAUUGAAUUUAUGAAAUAAAAAUUUUAUUUGAUUAUUUGUUAUGUUGGGGAGACAUAAGUAAAAUAUUUUUUUAACUGCUUGAUAGUUAUACAAUUAUUAGUGAAUAAGUAGAAGAUCCUUUUUAAGAUUAGUAGAUUAAGUUACUUUAGGGAUAACAGUGUAAUUUCUUUUGAGAGUUCUUAUCGAAAAAGAAGGUUGCAACCUCGAUGUUGAAUUAAAAUAUCUAUAUAAUGGAGAGGUUAUAUAAGAAGGUCUGUUCGACCUUGAAAAUUUUACAUGAUUUGAGUUCAAACCGGUGUAAGCCAGGUU